rnacentral:lncRNA from 1 species
CUUCCCUUGUCCUGGGAGUCAUCACCUGCGCGCCUGAGAGGCUCAACUUCCCUGCUUCUGCCUGUGCCCUCAAACGGGCAGCCUGGCUGCUGCGGGGCCGUGGGGUCUUCCACAACGGUCUCAAGAUCUGCGAGAAGUUUGGGCCCAAUCUGGACACGUGCCCUGAAGGCACCAUCCUGGGACUGCGGCUGGACAGCUCUGGGGGGCUGCAUCUUCAUGUUAAUGGGGUGGACCAGGGGGUAGCUGUGCCAGAUGUGCCCCAGCCCUGCCAUGCGCUUGUGGACCUCUAUGGGCAGUGUGAGCAGGUGACAAUCGUGAACCCUGAGCCAGGGGCUGCCAGUGGGAAAAGUGCUGGAACCCAAGGGGACAUGGAGAAAGCAGACAUGGUGGACGGUAUCAAAGAGAGUGUGUGCUGGGGUCCACCACCUGCCGCUAGUCCUCUAAAGAGCUGCGAGUACCAUGCCCUUUGCUCUCGCUUCCAAGAACUCCUGCUGCUUCCCGAAGAUUAUUUCAUGCCUCCGCCAAAGCGAAGCCUGUGCUACUGUGAGUCUUGCCGGAAGCUGCGAGGAGACGAGGCCCACAGGCGCAGAGGGGAGCCUCCCCGGGAAUAUGCACUGCCCUUUGGCUGGUGCAGGUUCAACCUCAGAGUGAAUCCCCGCCUGGAGGCUGGGACACUAACCAAGAAGUGGCACAUGGCAUAUCACGGGAGCAAUGUUGCCGCUGUACGGAGAGUGCUGGACCGAGGGGAGCUGGGAGCAGGUACUGCCUCCAUCCUGAGCUGCCGUCCUUUGAAGGGAGAACCUGGGGUAGGGUUCGAGGAGCCUGGCGAGAACUGUGCACCUCCUCGGGAGGAGCAGCCCCCUCCUGUGCUGCUUUCCCCCUCCCUUCAAUAUGCUGGGGCGGAGACCCUGGCCUCCAAAGUGCAAUUCCGGGACCCCAAAUCCCAGCGGACGCACCAGGCUCAGGUGGCGUUCCAGAGGAGUCUCUCCCUGUGCCCACAUGAAGCUGCUUUUUCCGGGGCCACCGGGCGGGAGUGGGGAAGGGUGGGCGCACGGAAGAUGGGGGCCUCUGUACAGUUGUUACUGACUCUGAUUUCUAAGGAGCCAAUAAACACCGUCUCAGAGCCUCCGCCUCGGCCUCUCUCUCGCGCGCCCCUCUCCGGAGCCCGCGUCCCCUGGGGUGCCACCAGGUGGGCCCGCGAAAUUAAAGAGAGCUGAGGAUGCCAAGGCCAGUCUGCAGCCGUCGUCGCUCACGUUCCCGGCGACGGGGUUUGUACGCCGCGGGCACCCGUCGCAGCGCGCUUCCGCCUUCUUUCACCUGUGAGGUCGGCCGCCGCCGUGACUCCGGAAGGACUCGGCCGGGCCGCCGGAUGUGACGCAGGGGCCAGGGCGCGUCGGAGCCGCUGAGAAAGCGCAGAGAAGGCGGGCCCCGUCUGAGGUCUGGCAGUCAGAGACAGCCGGGCGCCCACGGCCCGAGCGCCCACGGCAGCACCAUGCCCGCACUCCUGGAGCGCCCCAAGCUUUCCAACGCCAUGGCCAGGGCGCUGCACCGGCACAUUAUGAUGGAGCGGGAGCGCAAGCGGCAGGAGGAAGAAGAGGUGGAUAAGAUGAUGGAACAGAAGAUGAAGGAAGAACAGGAGAGAAGGAAGAAAAAGGAGAUGGAAGAGAGAAUGUCAUUAGAGGAGACCAAGGAACAAAUUCUGAAGUUGGAGGAGAAGCUUUUGGCUCUACAGGAAGAGAAGCACCAGCUUUUCCUGCAGCUCAAGAAAGUUUUACAUGAGGAAGAAAAACGGAGGCGAAAGGAACAGAGUGACCUGACCACCCUAACAUCAGCUGCAUACCAGCAGAGCCUGACUGUUCACACAGGAACUCAUCUCCUCAGCAUGCAGGGGAGCCCUGGAGGACACAAUCGCCCAGGCACCCUCAUGGCAGCUGACAGAGCCAAACAAAUGUUUGGACCCCAAGUGCUUACGACCCGGCACUACGUGGGCUCAGCAGCUGCUUUUGCAGGGACACCAGAGCAUGGACAAUUCCAAGGCAGUCCUGGUGGUGCCUAUGGGACUGCUCAGCCCCCACCUCACUAUGGGCCCACACAGCCAGCUUAUAGUCCUAGUCAGCAGCUCAGAGCUCCUUCGGCAUUCCCUGCAGUGCAGUACCUAUCUCAGCCACAGCCACAGCCCUAUGCUGUGCAUGGCCACUUUCAGCCCACUCAGACAGGUUUCCUCCAGCCUGGUGGUGCCCUGUCCUUGCAAAAGCAGAUGGAACAUGCUAACCAGCAGACUGGCUUCUCCGACUCAUCCUCUCUGCGCCCCAUGCACCCCCAGGCUCUGCAUCCAGCCCCUGGACUCCUUGCUUCCCCCCAGCUCCCUGUGCAGAUGCAGCCAGCAGGAAAGUCGGGCUUUGCAGCUACCAGCCAACCUGGCCCUCGGCUCCCCUUCAUCCAACACAGCCAGAACCCGCGAUUCUACCACAAGUGACCAUCAGAUUAUAUCUUCAACACCACACCCCCCACCCCAUCGUGGGUGAGGGUAUCCCCUGUGUGUCCCAGGCCAAUAAAAUCUACCUGCCACUG